AGGACGAACGCUGGCGGCGUGCUUAACACAUGCAAGUCGAGCGGAAAGGCCCUUCGGGGUACUCGAGCGGCGAACGGGUGAGUAACACGUGAGUAAUCUGCCCAUCGCUUCAGGAUAGCCAUCGGAAACGGUGAUUAAUACUGGAUAUGACAUUCCUUCGCAUGUUGGGGUGUGGAAAGUUUUUUCGGCGAUGGAUGUGCUCGCGGCCUAUCAGCUUGUUGGUGGGGUAAUGGCCUACCAAGGCUUUGACGGGUAGCCGGCCUGAGAGGGUGACCGGCCACACUGGGACUGAGACACGGCCCAGACUCCUACGGGAGCAGCAGUGGGGAAUAUGGACAAUGGGCGAAGCCUGAUCCGAGCAACGCCGCGUGAGGAUGGACGGCCUUCGGGUGUAAACCUCUUUCAGCACAGACGAAGUUUGCUUUUUUGGUGUAAGUGACGGUAUGUGCGAGAAGAACGGACCGGCCAACGUACGU
rnacentral:rRNA from 1 species